UACGUAGGGGGCAAGCGUUGUCCGGAUUUAUUGGGCGUAAAGAGCUUGUAGGCGGUCUGUCGCGUCUGCUGUGAAAACUCGGGGCUUAACCCCGGGCCUGCAGUGGGUACGGGCAGACUAGAGUGCGGUAGGGGAGACUGGAAUUCCUGGUGUAGCGGUGAAAUGCGCAGAUAUCAGGAGGAACACCGGUGGCGAAGGCGGGUCUCUGGGCCGUAACUGACGCUGAGGAGCGAAAGCGUGGGGAGCGAACAGG
rnacentral:rRNA from 1 species